AUUCUCUGGCUUCUCUUCAGAUUGAAUAAAUCUUUCGCUUAUUACUAAAGCUUUCCGUGGAGAGGAACAACUUUGAGUUUUUAAAUGAUUUUAAGGCAGAUCUCUCUGCCC